rnacentral:rRNA from 1 species
ACUCCUACGGGAGGCAGCAGUGGGGAAUCUUGCACAAUGGGCGAAAGCCUGAUGCAGCGACGCCGCGUGGGGGAUGAAGCAUUUCGGUGUGUAAACCCCUUUCGAUCCGGACGAAUGCCCGCAAGGGAUUGACGGUACGGAUAUAAGAAGCCCCGGCUAACUACGUGCCAGCAGCCGCGGUAAGACGUAGGGGGC